AAAGCUUGUGUUAUCGUCAGCAUUGUUACGUAAAGCUGAACAUUCGAGAAAGCCUCCACACGCCUAUAAAUAUAACCAACGCGACGCGCCAAAAAAAAGUAUCUAUUAUUAGCUUGCUAUAG